AGUGAACGCUGGCGGUAGGCCUAACACAUGCAAGUCGAACGGCAGCACAGUAAGAGCUUGCUCUUACGGGUGGCGAGUGGCGGACGGGUGAGGAAUACAUCGGAAUCUACUUUUUCGUGGGGGAUAACGUAGGGAAACUUACGCUAAUACCGCAUACGACCUACGGGUGAAAGCAGGGGAUCUUCGGACCUUGCGCGAUUGAAUGAGCCGAUGUCGGAUUAGCUAGUUGGCGGGGUAAAGGCCCACCAAGGCGACGAUCCGUAGCUGGUCUGAGAGGAUGAUCAGCCACACUGGAACUGAGACACGGUCCAGACUCCUACGGUAGUCAGCAGGGGGUAAUAUGGGACAAUGGGCGCAAGCCUGAUCCAGCCAUACCGCGUGGGUGAAGAAGACCUUCGGGUUGUAAAGCCCUUUUGUUGGGAAAGAAAAGCAGCAGGUUAAUACCCCGCUGUUCGGACGGUACCCAAAGAAUAAGCACCGGCUAACUGCGU
rnacentral:rRNA from 1 species